GCUGAAGACACACAUGCUGUGAGUGGUUGUAACUCCCAGAAUGGGGAUAUUGGAUAAAGGCUAGAUCCUACGUGUCAGAAGUUACAUCGUAUUGGUUGUGGAAGCCACCCGAAUAUUUUCUCUGCUUGAAGCAUGCUGUGGCCUUAGGAGACUCUCCAGAACUGGUGUCCUAAAAUAACAGCUUGAUCUCUACACUUCAUCUUGCUCAGGUCACAGGGCAGAUGAUGCUGUCGCUUGAAGCAUAACAGUGCUGGCAGUCUUUGUGUGAUCCUUGAGGCCCUGGAACGGCUGUGGGAUAUCUGCUGU